AGUGGCGAACGGGUGAGUAAUACAUCGGAACGUGCCCAAUCGUGAGGGAUAACGCAGCGAAAGCUGUGCUAAUACCGCAUACGAUCUACGGAUGAAAGCAGGGGAUCGCAAGACCUUGCGCGAAUGGAGCGGCCGAUGGCAGAUUAGGUAGUUGGUGAGGUAAAGGCUCACCAAGCCUUCGAUCUGUAGCUGGUCUGAGAGGACGACCAGCCACACUGGGACUGAGACACGGCCCAGACUCCUACGGGAGGCAGCAGUGGGGAAUUUUGGACAAUGGGCGAAAGCCUGAUCCAGCCAUGCCGCGUGCAGGAUGAAGGCCUUCGGGUUGUAAACUGCUUUUGUACGGAACGAAACGGCCUUUUCUAAUAAAGAGGGCUAAUGACGGUACCGUAAGAAUAAGCACCGGCUAACUACGUGCCAGCAGCCGCGGUAAUACGUAGGGUGCAAGCGUUAAUCGGAAUUACUGGGCGUAAAGCGUGCGCAGGCGGUUAUGUAAGACAGUUGUGAAAUCCCCGGGCUCAACCUGGGAACUGCAUCUGUGACUGCAUAGCUAGAGUACGGUAGAGGGGGAUGGAAUUCCGCGUGUAGCAGUGAAAUGCGUAGAUAUGCGGAGGAACACCGAUGGCGAAGGCAAU
rnacentral:rRNA from 1 species